rnacentral:rRNA from 1 species
AUUGAACGCUGGCGGCAUGCUUUACACAUGCAAGUCGAACGGUAACAGGCCGCAAGGUGCUGACGAGUGGCGAACGGGUGAGUAAUGCAUCGGAACGUGCCCAGUCGUGGGGGAUAACGCAGCGAAAGCUGCGCUAAUACCGCAUACGAUCUAUGGAUGAAAGCGGGGGACCGAAAGGCCUCGCGCGAUUGGAGCGGCCGAUGUCAGAUUAGGUAGUUGGUGGGGUAAAGGCUCACCAAGCCAACGAUCUGUAGCUGGUCUGAGAGGACGACCAGCCAAACGGGGACGGAGACACGGCCCAGACUCCUACGGGAGGCAGCAGUGGGGAAUUUUGGACAAUGGGCGCAAGCCUGAUCCAGCAAUGCCGCGUGCAGGAAGAAGGCCUUCGGGUUGUAAACUGCUUUUGUACGGAACGAAAAGGCUCUGGUUAAUACCUGGGGCUCAUGACGGUACCGUAAGAAUAAGCACCGGCUAACUACGUGCCAGCCGCCGCAGUAACAC